rnacentral:rRNA from 1 species
GACGAACGCUGGCGGCGUGCUUAACACAUGCAAGUCGAGCGGAGCGGCGAACGGGUGAGUAACGCGUGAGUAACUGCCCCCCUCUCUGGGAUAACAGUUGGAAACUGCUGCUAAUACCGGAUAGUGGGGGAUGACUCGCGUCCUAUCCGCUUGUUGGUGGGGUAGUGGCCUACCAAGGCGACGACGGGUAGCCGGCCUGAGAGGGCGAACGGCCACAGUGGGCUGAGAUACGUCCCAAGCGCCUACGGGGGGCAGCAGUGGGCGAUAUUGGACAAUGGGCGAAAGCCUGAGGCAGCGACGCGCGUGGGGGAUGAAGGCUUUCGGGUUCUAAACCUCUUUCGCUAUCGAAAGGGUAGGUGGAGAAGAAGCGCCGGCUAACUACGUGCCAGCAGCCGCGGUAAUAC